CACGUAGGGGGCAAGCGUUGUCCGGAUUUAUUGGGCGUAAAGAGCUCGUAGGUGGUUCGAUAAGUCGAGUGUGAAAACUCCAGGCUCAACCUGGAGACGCCACCCGAUACUGUCGUGACUAGAGUCCAGUAGGGGAGCGUGGAAUUCCUGGUGUAGCGGUGAAAUGCGCAGAUAUCAGGAGGAACACCAGUGGCGAAGGCGGCGCUCUGGGCUGGCACUGACACUGAGGAGCGAAAGCGUGGGGAGCGAACAGG
rnacentral:rRNA from 1 species